AACCUAGCACACCUGCGGUGUGUACCUGCGGAAGGAUCAUUACAGAGUUGCAAAACUCCCUAAACCAUUGUGAACGUUACCUAAACCGUUGCUUCGGCGGGCGGCGCGCCCUCGCGCGCGCCCCUGGGCCCCACCGCGGGCGCCCGCCGGAGGUCACCAAACUCUUGAUAUUAAUUGGCCUCUCUGAGUCUUCUGUACUGAAUAAGUCAAAACUUUUAACAACGGAUCUCAGAUCGGAAG
rnacentral:misc_RNA from 1 species